GACGUAGGGCGCGAGCGUUGUCCGGAUUUAUUGGGCGUAAAGAGCUCGUAGGCGGCUUGUCGCGUCGUCCGUGAAAACUUGGGGCUCAACCCCAAGCUUGCGGUCGAUACGGGCAGGCUAGAGUUCGGUAGGGGAGACUGGAAUUCCUGGUGUAGCGGUGAAAUGCGCAGAUAUCAGGAGGAACACCGGUGGCGAAGGCGGGUCUCUGGGCAGUACUGACGCUGAGGAGCGAAAGCGUGGGGAGCAAACAGG
rnacentral:rRNA from 1 species